rnacentral:rRNA from 1 species
UACGUAGGCAGCGAGCGUUGUUCGGAGUUACUGGGCGUAAAGGGUGUGUAGGCGGUUGUUUAAGUUUGGUGUGAAAUCUCCCGGCUCAACGUGGGGGGUGCGCCGAAUACUGAAUGACUUGGAGUGCGGGAGAGGUGAGUGGAAUUCCUGGUGUAGCGGUGAAAUGCGUAGAUAUCAGGAGGAACACCGGUGGUGUAGACGGCUCACUGGACCGUAACUGACGCUGAGACACGAAAGCGUGGGUAGCAAACAGG